GACGAACGCUGGCGGCGUGCUUAACACAUGCAAGUCGAACGGAAAGGCCCUGCUUUUGUGGGGUGCUCGAGUGGCGAACGGGUGAGUAACACGUGAGUAACCUGCCCUUGACUUUGGGAUAACUUCAGGAAACUGGGGCUAAUACCGGAUAGGGGCUCCUGCUGCAUGGUGGGGGUUGGAAAGUUUCGGCGGUUGGGGAUGGACUCGCGGCUUAUCAGCUUGUUGGUGGGGUAGUGGCUUAUCAAGGCUUUGACGGGUAGCCGGCCUGAGAGGGUGACCGGCCACAUUGGGACUGAGAUACGGCCCAGACUCCUACGGGAGGCAGCAGUGGGGAAUAUUGCACAAUGGGCGGAAGCCUGAUGCAGCAACGCCGCGUGCGGGAUGACGGCCUUCGGGUUGUAAACCGCUUUCGCCUGUGACGAAGCGUGAGUGACGGUAAUGGGUAAAGAAGCACCGGCUAACUACGU
rnacentral:rRNA from 1 species